AAUGAACGCUGGCGGCAGGCCUAACACAUGCAAGUCGAACGGAAACAGGAAGCAGCUUGCUGCUUGACGUACGAGGGGGGGGCGUGUGAGACAUGUCGGGGAAAUACCUUGAUGGAGGGGGUAAACUACGGGAAACGGUAGCUAAGACCGCAUAACGAUGCAAGCGCAAAGAGGGGGACCGUAGGGCGGCUUGCCAGCGGAUGUGACCAGAUGGGAUUAGGCAGUAGGUGGGGGAACGGCUCACCUAGGCGACGAUCCCUAGCGGGUCUGAGAGGAUGACCAGCCACACUGGCACUGAGACACGGUCCAGACUCCUACGGGAGGCAGCAGUGGGGAAUAUUGCACACUGGGCGCAAGCCUGAUGCAGCCAUGCCGCGUGUAUGAAGAAGGCCUUCGGGUUGUAAAGUACUUUCAGCGGGGAGGAAGGGAGUAAAGUUAAUACCUUUGCUCAUUGACGUUACCCGCAGAAGAAGCACCGGCUAACUCCGUG
rnacentral:rRNA from 1 species